UAACAGGAAGCAGCUUGCUGCUUCGCUGACGAGUGGCGGACGGGUGAGUAAUGUCUGGGAAGCUGCCUGAUGGAGGGGGAUAACUACUGGAAACGGUAGCUAAUACCGCAUAAUGUCGCAAGACCAAAGAGGGGGACCUUCGGGCCUCUUGCCAUCGGAUGUGCCCAGAUGGGAUUAGCUUGUUGGUGGGGUAACGGCUCUCCAAGGCGGAGAUCCCUAGCUGGUCUGAGAGGAUGACCAGCCACACUUACUCGUCACACGAUGAUGNNUCNUNCNUCAAGUCAAGAGAGGGAAUCNNGAGAUCUC
rnacentral:misc_RNA from 1 species